AGAGACAGUUGUCCUGGAAGCCUCUGGGCAUAAUUAGCUUAGUUUUGCACAACUGUGAGGUUGAGUUUACAGCAAAUAUGAAGCUAUUGGGAGUCUUUGCUAAAAUAAAUGGUCUUUGUGGUGUAUUAUUGACUAUUAUGAGAAAGCGAGAUUCUAGCUAGUGUCAGGAUGUUAGUCAGACAUGCAGACUCUGCUCCUCCUGCAGUGGGACACAGCCUCCUAUCAAAUCAUGGGCCUCUCUGCAGCAUCUUGAAUUGCUGUGUCUCCACGGAAGUGACACUCAGGUGUACCCCGUUUGGAUCUGUGGUGAAGGCGUGUGGGACAGCUCUAUCCUUACAGCAAGACAACCACCAUCUUCAUCAGGUGAGUCGAGUCUGCUUGCAGAGGAUCCUUACAGAUGGGCCUGUAGAGAGUUGAUACUUCCCGACAGCAGGAGGAGUUGGGGAAGGUCACUGGGUCUUCAGUUCCUGUUCUAGCUACUUCUUACAGCUCUGUUGAUGUUUUCUUCAAAACAACCAACCAACCAAACAAAAACCCAUGAGACCUCCAUUAAGGAAAAUGGAUCAGUUUGAUCACAGUGAACGACUUGUGAGUUAAGAGGAAACCUGACAGGAAAGACGAGAAAAGGUUCAGAGAGAAGAACCUGUGACUAUUUUUUUCUGAAUGUGGAAUGGAUGUCCCAACAGCUGCUAUCUGAAUAGUGAAGAAAGUGCCCAGAAGAGAGGCUCCCUGAUGGGUAUGGAGGAAAGAAAACCUAAGCCACCGGUAUGGUCCAAUGCUGGGCCCUUGACAGUCCUCUCCCGCAGUCUUGGCCACGUGUCAUGAGAGGAUGCGCCAUUGGGCCUCUGGGUACACAGGAGGAAAUGGUCUCACUGUGGUGAGGAUGUGGCUGUUAGGAGUGAGUGAGUCCUGUUUUGAAUCACCCUGGGCAGGAGGGCUGACUUAGUGAACACACUGGGUGGAGUCAUUUGUACACGUUCUGUAAACAAUGCUUUUCUUGGGUUUUGGUGUUUUAUAUGAGGACUUAA